ACGGUCGUGUAAACCGAGUGAACUCGCUGGUAUAAACUCAAAAAAAACCUUUGUUUUUCUUCAAAUGACGGAUUGCGGGAUUAUUUGUAAACAAGUGAUUUUGCUACAAACAGCUACAUCGCCAUGGCAAAAACUGUAAUUGACGAAGAAUUUUUGAUCUCUUUAGUGCAAGAACGGCGCUUUCUUUGGGAUCUGCGCGAUCGCAUGUAUAAGAAUAGAGCGGUGACAAAUAAAGCGUGGAAUGAGAUAGGAGCGGAGCUUAAUGUUGAAGUUUGCUGCGGGAACAAACCGGCAAACGAGUGGGUUGAAUAAGUGAAGAAUGAACAGACCCGAUACUCUCGCGCUAGUUUCUUCGUUGCGUUGUAUAUCACCCCGGAUGAUAAUGAUAAGAUUGGGCUUUUCCUUGAUUAACCAGAAUCGGAUAUUAACGGCGGACCCUUGUUGAUAACGAUCUUUUUCCGGUAAACGUAUUUUUAGGAUUGGGUCUAUUGAACGUCUGAUUUCUACCGAUCAUUAAUUCUACCGAGUAGAGAAAUCUUGAUUUGAUUUUUGUUAUAGUUUUUCUUUGUUUUUGGCAUGCAAGAAAAUAGAAGAUUCAUGAACGAUGACUAGUUAUGUUGACAUCGUUUGCAUACUCGCAUAGUUAGGACAACUCAUCUACCAAUUUGAAAUCGUCGUCGACAAGUAAAAUUUUACGUUCCUGUCAAUCUUAUCAAUACGAUCCUAGCAGCAUCGAGGUUCAGACGGAUUUAAAAGUAAAGUGUAAUAACUUUAUAAUGAAAAAGGAAUAAUUUACAUCCAGGGUUUGUACCGUUUUUUAGUAAUUUUUCGCUAAUUAUUUGAUUUCAAAAAUAUCAUAUAUUUUUUAAUAUAAUGAUGAGUCGAGGCUCAAUGAGUUUUCAUUCGUUAGAUGUUAGCACAAUAAGAGGACCAUUCUCACGGUUGCAUAUAGUACGUCGCUACUCCUUCGAGACACACACUUUCACACAUGUACAGGUAAUAUUUAUUAUUGUUUUGUGGUACUUAUUUAUAGCAAAGACAAUAAGUAUGCGAACCAUUUACUGUCUCAUCAGACGGAUGAUUUAAAUCUAAUUGUAAGUUUUAGGAACUAUUCAUUCCCAAACGUUAUAACUGUAUCGAAAAUUUGGAUUACAUCCAAGUAAAUAAAAAUGAAAGUAUUCUCAUU